GACGAACGCUGGCGGCGUGCCUAAUACAUGCAAGUCGAGCGGAAGUUGGAGAGCUUGCUCUUCAACUUUAGCGGUGGACGGGUGAGUAACACGUGGGCAACCUGCCCUGCAGAUCGGGAUAACUCCGGGAAACCGGCGCUAAUACCGAAUAGUUUUCGACACCUCCUGGUGGCGUACGGAAAGACGGUUUCGGCUGUCACUGCAGGAUGGGCCCGCGGCGCAUUAGCUAGUUGGUGGGGUAACGGCCCACCAAGGCGACGAUGCGUAGCCGACCUGAGAGGGUGAUCGGCCACACUGGGACUGAGACACGGCCCAGACUCCUACGGGAGGCAGCAGUAGGGAAUCUUCCGCAAUGGACGAAAGUCUGACGGAGCAACGCCGCGUGAGUGACGAAGGUUUUCGGAUCGUAAAACUCUGUUGUGAGGGAAGAACAAGUACCACUUAACUACUGGUACCUUGACGGUACCUCACCAGAAAGCCACGGCUAACUACGUGCCAGCCGCCGCCGUAA
rnacentral:rRNA from 1 species